AACGAACGCUGGCGGCAUGCCUAACACAUGCGAGUCGAACGAGACCUUCGGGUCUAGUGGCGCACGGGUGCGUAACGCGUGGGAACCUGCCCUUAGGUUCGGAAUAACUCCCCGAAAGGGGUGCUAAUACCGGAUAAUGUCUUCGGACCAAAGAUUUAUCGCCUUUGGAUGGGCCCGCGUUGGAUUAGCUAGUUGGUAGGGUAAAAGCCUACCAAGGCGACGAUCCAUAGCUGGUCUGAGAGGAUGAUCAGCCACACUGGGACUGAGACACGGCCCAGACUCCUACGGGAGGCUGCAGUGGGGAAUAUUGGACAAUGGGCGAAAGCCUGAUCCAGCAAUGCCGCGUGAGUGAUGAAGGCCUUAGGGUUGUAAAGCUCUUUUACCCGGGAUGAUAAUGACAGUACCGGGAGAAUAAGCUCCGGCUAACUCCGUG
rnacentral:rRNA from 1 species